GAUGAACGCUAGCGGGAGGCCUAACACAUGCAAGCCGAGCGGUAUUGUUUCUUCGGAAAUGAGAGAGCGGCGUACGGGUGCGGAACACGUGUGCAACCUGCCUUUAUCUGGGGGAUAGCCUUUCGAAAGGAAGAUUAAUACUCCAUAAUAUAUUGAACGGCAUCGUUUAAUAUUGAAAGCUCCGGCGGAUAGAGAUGGGCACGCGCAAGAUUAGCUAGUUGGUGAGGUAACGGCUCACCAAGGCGAUGAUCUUUAGGGGGCCUGAGAGGGUGAUCCCCCACACUGGUACUGAGACACGGACCAGACUCCUACGGGAGGCAGCAGUGAGGAAUAUUGGUCAAUGGGUGCAAGCCUGAACCAGCCAUCCCGCGUGAAGGACGACUGCCCUAUGGGUUGUAAACUUCUUUUGUAUAGGGAUAAACCUACCCUCGUGAGGGUAGCUGAAGGUACUAUACGAAUAAGCACCGGCUAACUCCGUGCCAGCAGCCGCGGUAAUACGGAGGGUGCAAGCGUUAUCCGGAUUUAUUGGGUUUAAAGGGUCCGUAGGCGGACUUAUAAGUCAGUGGUGAAAGCCUGUCGCUUAACGAUAGAACUGCCAUUGAUACUGUAAGUCUUGAGUAUAUUUGAGGUAGCUGGAAUAAGUAGUGUAGCGGUGAAAUGCAUAGAUAUUACUUAGAACACCAAUUGCGAAGGCAGGUUACCAAGAUAUAACUGACGCUGAGGGACGAAAGCGUGGGGAGCGAACAGGAUUAGAUACCCUGGUAGUCCACGCCGUAAACGAUGCUAACUCGUUUUUGGGCUUUAGGGUUCAGAGACCAAGCGAAAGUGAUAAGUUAGCCACCUGGGGAGUACGCUCGCAAGAGUGAAACUCAAAGGAAUUGGCGGGGGCCCGCACAAGCGGUGGAUUAUGUGGUUUAAUUCGAUGAUACGCGAGGAACCUUACCAAGACUUAAAUGGGAAUUGACAGCUUUAGAAAUAGAGCUUUCUUCGGACAAUUUUCAAGGUGCUGCAUGGUUGUCGUCAGCUCGUGCCGUGAGGUGUUAGGUUAAGUCCUGCAACGAGCGCAACCCCUGUCACUAGUUGCCAUCAUUCAGUUGGGGACUCUAGUGAGACUGCCUACGCAAGUAGAGAGGAAGGUGGGGAUGACGUCAAAUCAUCAUGGCCCUUACGUCUUGGGCCACACACGUAAUACAAUGGCCGGUACAGAGGGCAGCUACACAGCGAUGUGAUGCAAAUCUCGAAAGCCGGUCUCAGUUCGGAUUGGAGUCUGCAACUCGACUCUAUGAAGCUGGAAUCGCUAGUAAUCGCGCAUCAGCCAUGGCGCGGUGAAUACGUUCCCGGGCCU
rnacentral:rRNA from 1 species